UUUUUGUAUGGAAAAACGUGCCAACUAAAAAGCACAUACUCAAUAGUUGGCAUGGAAUCGAAGUUCAACUAAUGAGUUCAGAUUGUUCUGUUAAUUUGUUGUUUUGAUCAAAUAGCCAUUGCCCAAGAGAAAGUUAAUAAUAAUUUUCUUUACCUGUGUACCUGGCCUGCAUAAUUGUGUUGCUAAAAAUCAAAGUAUUACCCUGGUUUAAACAAGGAUUCAAUGGUCCUUUCAUAGGAUUCAUUGUUAAGGAAAGUCCAUCUAACAGAGCAAGUAUUUGAGCAUUUCGAGCAUCCUGUCUAAUAAGCAGCUUUCGGCAAAGCGGACAGCAGCAAGACGGGUGGCUUUCUUCUUGCGGCUGUGUUGCAGCAGAAGCAUCAUCGCUGGAAACUUCCAUCAUUGAUACAGCUGAUGUUGGCUUGAGAACAUCUGCGCUGACAAUCCUUGCUUGCGAGCGUGUCGCAGCAGAAAAACCACCUCCGGAUGCUGCAAUGACAGUUGCAGACGACGAUAACCGUUGUCCUGCGGAGCAUUUAGCCAUUCCUGGCGGUUUUGCUGCAGCAGCGACAACACCUCCAGAUGCUGUCACCACCGCUGAAGACGACGUCAACUGUUGCAAUCCAGCAUCAACAACAUUUCCUGGCGGGCGUUCCGUAGCAACAACAACGCCACUGGAAGUUGCUUUUGGUGAUGUAGACGGCAACAGUUGUCCUCCGGCGGCAGCGGCAACACUCUCGGCUGUCUCCACCGUUGCAGCCGACGGAAGCCGUUGUCCUUCAGCAUGAACAGCAGCGACAUCACCACUGGAUGCUGUACCCACCGUUGCAGUCGACGGCAACCGUUGUCCUCUGGCGUGUACAACACUUCCUGGCGGACGUGCAGUAACAGGAACAACACCGCUGGAAGUUGCGUUUGUUGAUUCAGACGGCAACCGUUGACCUCCGGAGGCAGCGACAACACUCCUAGAUGCUGUCACCACCGUUGCAGCCGACGGCAGCCGUUGUCCUCCAACAUGAACAGCAGCGACAACACCACUGGAUGCUGUCCCCACCGUUGCAGCCGACGGCAACCGUUGUGCUCCGGCAUGCACAACACAUCCUGGCGGGAGUGACACAACAACACUAUCCGGACUAGAGGAUGCCAUCACCAAUAAAGAUGAUGGAAUUUGCUGUCCACCGGGGCAAACAACUGUACCAGCUGGCAUCAUCGUCGAAGAUGUAUUUGGCUGCUGCAUUGCAACACAAGUAACGUUUCUUGACAAACGUGCAAGUGCAGCAGCAACAUCAUCGGAAACGUUCAACGCCGACGACGGAACAGAUGAUAUUGGUGGCUGUUCAUUGGGGGCAGUAUGAAACGUAACUGCAGAAACAUUACCGCCGGAAGAUGUCAACGUGUAUGAUGCAGCAGAAGAUGUUGUUAGCUGAUUCUCCACGGUACUAACUACUGGAAGCACUUGUACACACGUAGGAUUUCGCACAACUUCUUCACUGCAAAACAUACCAACAUCAUCUGGAUCUUCCGGACGCGCUUGCUUUGUCGGUAUAGACAUGAUGUUGCUAGAGCAAAAUAGAGAUUUCGAUAAAGCGACGUAGAGAAAACUGUGAAUAAAAGCGACGUAGAGAAAACUGUGAAUAAAACGCUGAAAAAAUUGCUUGUUGUUCACGAC